CUCCUUGUUCUCUUCAAUCCCUAGUUUCUUCUUCUUCAAAUUGGUGCUUCACAAGGGGUUUUGGUGGCUGAUUUUAGAGGGCUUUCGAUUGGAAUUGGAGGCUUGGUUCGUGGCUGCCUUCCUUCUCUCAAAUCAUCCAUUAAUCAAGAUAAAGGUAAAGCUAAAGAGGGAGCCGGGCCUAGUGGUGUAUGAGUUCAAGGGAUAGAUUAUUUACAGAGUCCUUCCAGCCAGAAGAUCUUUGGGAGUUGGUUUUUAGGGCUUGCGGACUGGAGUUGUUUUGUUGUUACAUAUUUAUAUUGUCAUUUUUAUUUUGUUGUAUGGGCAGCUAAGCCCUAACCGGAUUUAUGUAGUGAGUAUUAUAGUGUGUAUGUACCAUGUGAGCAUGGUUAAAAUAAAUGGGAUAUGCGUGGUUGUUUA